rnacentral:lncRNA from 1 species
UGUAACGACCCCGAAAAUCCAAAAGGAAAUAUAUAAUAAUAACUUAAGUGCGGAAGCGAAAUAAAAGGUUAAAGUUUAAAUCUCUUACACAAGAACUUAAAAGUACUAAACAAAUAUUACGGAAUGAAUUCUCUAAAAGAAACACGAGAAAUAAGAAAGUAAUGAAAAAUCGAAAGUAUCUAGCAUCUACUCGCAAUCUUCUUGCAGAUCGGACUCUGGAACCAGGUCCUCCUGAUAUGAAAUGAUUAAAUAAAGGAUGAGCUACAAUAUCCUAGUAAGGAUAUCACACUAUAUCACCGGCACAAAAGCAAAGGUUGGUAGAAAAUCAAAACAACUGAUGGAGCACUAAAUUUAGCAAAUUCGUUUAUCAAUCAUAAAAUCAUUUACCGUUCACUUACCAUUGUAGAAUUUAUGAAAAUAACAUAUAGAGACAAUAAUAUCAUACAGAUAAUAAUCUUAUGAACAAUCAACAAUAUAGAACAUGUCAUAAAUUCAUAUUCAUUAACAAUAAACCAAAUCAUAACUAUUUCUCGUUUUACAGCCUCCAAUAUCCAUGGGGGUUCAUAGGGGUAUGCCCGCUACACAUGAACCUUUUCUCUUAACAAUCUCAAUUACAGGGUCGUCCUCAUAUCCCGUUUGGUAUGAGCGCCAAAAAUAUUAAAUCUCAGUACCCCAUCU